rnacentral:rRNA from 1 species
UACAGAGGUCUCAAGCGUUGUUCGGAUUCAUUGGGCGUAAAGGGUGCGUAGGUGGCGCUGUAAGUCGGGUGUGAAAUUUCGGAGCUUAACUCCGAAACUGCAUUCGAUACUGCGGUGCUUGAGGACUGGAGAGGAGACUGGAAUUUAUGGUGUAGCAGUGAAAUGCGUAGAGAUCAUAAGGAAGACCAGUGGCGAAGGCGGGUCUCUGGACAGUUACUGACGCUGAGGCACGAAGGCCAGGGGAGCAAACGGG